CGGCCGCAAGGUUAAAACUCAAAUGAAUUGACGGGGGCCCGCACAAGCGGUGGAGCAUGUGGUUUAAUUCGAUGCAACGCGAAGAACCUUACCAAGUCUUGACAUCCUGCGAAUUUUCUAGAGAUAGAUUAGUGCCUUCGGGAGCGCAGUGACAGGUGCUGCAUGGCUGUCGUCAGCUCGUGUUGUGAAAUGUUGGGUUAAGUCCCGUAACGAGCGCAACCCUUGUCCUUAGUUGCUAGCAGGUUAAGCUGAGAACUCUAAGGAGGCUGCCGGUGACAAACCGGAGGAAGGUGGGGACGACGUCAAGUCAUCAUGGCCCUUACGACUUGGGCUACACACGUGCUACAAUGGCCAGUACAACGGGUUGCCAAGCCGCGAGGUGGAGCUAAUCUCAUAAAACAGGUCGUAGUCCGGAUUGGAGUCUGCAACUCGACUCCAUGAAGUCGGAAUCGCUAGUAAUCGUGAAUCAGAAUGUCACGGUGAAUACGUUCCCGGGCCUUGUACACACCGCCCGUCACACCAUGGGAGUGGGUUGCUCCAGAAGUGGCUAGUCUAACCUUCGGGGGGACGGUCACCACGGAGUGAUUCAUGACUGGGGUG
rnacentral:rRNA from 1 species